UUCCCUUCACACCGUCGCUCUCUCUCUCUCUCUUCAAUCAUUCCAACCUUGCCAAUUACACGCUCUCACAAACCCUAAAUCUAUCCAAUCGGCGGCUGUUCCGAGCUCAAUCUUUCUCUCCCCGUCUUCGAAUACCACGGCUAAGCAACUGUUCCGAGGAAGCCCCUCGUUGCCGGCGGUCUUUUGACGCUGUAUCUGGCGGCAACGGCUAUUCGAAUUUCCGCCGGUUGAAAUCAAAGCAAACGACGUCUGUGUUAAAGUGCUCGCGUCUCCCUUCAACCCGUCCGAUAUUAACAUAAUUGAAGGCAACUAGAUUCUUUAUCUCAUCAUUUACAUGUACCCCACCUGUUUGUGGAAAUGUCUAUGUGAACAAAGACACAGCAAUGUUGAGGUAUGUACACUUAUUCAUACUUUUUCUUCUUCGAUUCGUUAGGCUAUAGUGAUUUCAGUUUGUAUAUUGCAUUAUAUCGUUAUGUGCACUUGAAGGUACCGCCUUUGGGUCCUUUUUGGCGCACACCAUUUAGGGGUUUCAAUUCUUUCAAGAAUAGUUACCUCCUUGUGGACGCUCUCAUGAUGGGUUGAAGUGAAUAACCAAACCAGUUAAAGCAAUAUCCAGCUAGCAAAAAUGUGAAAACAAACGGCGGAUGAAAUUGAGCUUGAUCUUGCGGUUCUUGAUAACGAGACGAUGUGGAAGCUGCACAGUUUCAUCGGUAGCGCGGCAAAAAAGGAGGCUGCAGCGACUUGUAACAUGGUUUUUUCUGUACAGACUGAAAAUGUGGAAGAACAGUUUAGGUAAAAGGAUGCUGGAGAAUAAUAUGUGGAUAUUGUUUGAAGGCGGAAAGGCACU